AAGAAAUUUUGUUCGGCGGUCACGGGAUCGGGAUCACCAACAUUAAAAAACAGAAUGAGUGGCAACAUGUUGCUGCGGCAGUGAACGCUGUCAGUGGUACGGAGCGCACAGUACCAGAAUUGAAAAAGAAGUGGUCCGACAUAAAGAGGCUGUCCUCACACCGCCAGAGCGUGACUGCAACUGGAGGGGGACCCAGUACUCCUGACCUAACACCAAUUGACACGAAAGUUGCAUCCAUAAUUGGCACCGCAAGCGUGAGUGGCAUCAUGUCCGAAAGGGAAGGAGACACUGACAACACAGAAGAACAAGAGUCAGCGGUCGGUGGGGAGGAGGACGAUGAUGCCGGCGAGGGGCCCUCGGCCGCAGGUCAUCCGGCUGCCCCCACCCCCAGCACCAAGCGUCAGUCCGCUGGUCGGGUCCUCACAGACGCAGUUCUGCAGCUACAGAGGGAAACGAUAGAUGCAGUCAAUAACUUGACUGAGGAGAUGAGGCAGAUUCGAAAUGUUAUCACCGAAAUUGCCACAAUAUUAAAAGAUACUGUGAAAAAAUGAACC